rnacentral:rRNA from 1 species
AUUGAACGCUGGCGGAAUGCUUUACACAUGCAAGUCGAACGGCAGCAUAGGUGCUUGCACCUGAUGGCGAGUGGCGAACGGGUGAGUAAUACAUCGGAACGUGCCCAGUCGUGGGGGAUAACGUAGCGAAAGUUACGCUAAUACCGCAUACGAUCUAAGGAUGAAAGCGGGGGACCGUAAGGCCUCGCGCGAUUGGAGCGGCCGAUGUCAGAUUAGGUAGUUGGUGAGGUAAAGGCUCACCAAGCCGACGAUCUGUAGCUGGUCUGAGAGGGGGACCAGCCACACUGGGACUGAGACACGGCCCAGACUCCUACGGGAGGCAGCAGUGGGGAAUUUUGGACAAUGACGCAAGUCUGAUCCAGCCAUUCCGCGUGCAGGACGAAGGCCUUCGGGUUGUAAACUGCUUUUGUACGGAACGAAAAAGCUCUUACUAAUACUAGGAGUCCAUGACGGUACCGUAAGAAUAAGCACCGGCUAACUACGUGCCAGCAGCCGCAGUAA